rnacentral:rRNA from 1 species
UACGUAGGGUGCAAGCGUUAAUCGGAAUUACUGGGCGUAAAGCGUGCGCAGGCGGUUUUGUAAGACAGGCGUGAAAUCCCCGGGCUUAACCUGGGAAUGGCGCUUGUGACUGCACGGCUAGAGUACGGCAGAGGGGGGUGGAAUUCCACGUGUAGCAGUGAAAUGCGUAGAUAUGUGGAGGAACACCGAUGGCGAAGGCAGCCCCCUGGGCCGAUACUGACGCUCAUGCACGAAAGCGUGGGGAGCAAAC